rnacentral:rRNA from 1 species
UACGGGGGGAGCAAGCGUUGUUCGGAUUUACUGGGCGUAAAGGGCGCGUAGGCGGUCGUGACAAGUCACUUGUGAAAUCUCCGGGCUUAACCCAGAAACUGCCGUUGAUACUAUUUGUCUUGAAUAUCCUGGAGGUAGGCGGAAUAUGUCAUGUAGCGGUGAAAUGCUUAGAUAUGACAUAGAACACCGAUAGCGAAGGCAGCUUACUACAGGAUGAUUGACGCUGAGGCACGAAAGCGUGGGGAGCAAACAGG